UAGGGAAUCUUCCACAAUGGACGCAAGUCUGAUGGAGCAACGCCGCGUGAGUGAAGAAGGUUUUCGGAUCGUAAAGCUCUGUUGUUGGUGAAGAAGGAUAGAGGCAGUAACUGGUCUUUAUUUGACGGUAAUCAACCAGAAAGUCACGGCUAACUACGUGCCAGCAGCCGCGGUAAUACGUAGGUGGCAAGCGUUGUCCGGAGUUAUUGGGCGUAAAGCGAGCGCAGGCGGAAUGAUAAGUCUGAUGUGAAAGCCCACGGCUCAACCGUGGAACUGCAUCGGAAACUGUCAUUCUUGAGUGCAGAAGCGGCGAGUGGAAUUCCAUGUGUAGCGGUGGAAGGCGUAGAUAUAUGGAAGAACACCAGUGGCGAAGGCGGCUCUCUGGUCUGCAACUGACGCUGAGGCUCGAAAGCAUGGGUAGCGAACAGG
rnacentral:rRNA from 1 species